rnacentral:rRNA from 1 species
GUGUCAGCAGCCGCGGUAAUACGAAGGGGGCUAGCGUUGCUCGGAAUUACUGGGCGUAAAGGGCGCGUAGGCGGUUUCGUUAGUCAGGCGUGAAAUUCCUGGGCUUAACCUGGGGGCUGCGCUUGAUACAGCGAGACUUGAGGUCAGAAGAGGGUCGUGGAAUUCCCAGUGUAGAGGUGAAAUUCGUAGAUAUUGGGAAGAACACCGGUGGCGAAGGCGGCGACCUGGUCUGAUACUGACGCUGAGGCGCGACAGCGUGGGGAGCAAACAGGAUUAGAUACCCUGGUAGUCCACGCCGUAAACGAUGUGCGCUGGAUGUUGGGGCUCUUAGAGCUUCAGUGUCGUAGCCAACGCGGUAAGCGCACCGCCUGGGGAGUACGGCCGCAAGGUUGAA